rnacentral:lncRNA from 1 species
CGUGAGUUAGUAGUAUAGGAACUGCGUCUGUAAACUUGACUUUAGGUAUAAUAUAUAUAUUUGAUUUCUCUGUUCAGAUAUAUGGCUCAGAAGGAAAACCCACUACAGCAGUUUUGUUAAUAGAGAGAAAGACAAGCAGUCUUAGGAUAGUCUUCAAAUUUUGAGAGAUAGUAUUUAUGAUGGUGCCAUGCUCUAAAGAUGAGAAACACUGCUGAGAAAAGAGCGAAGAUAGCUGCUGGAGCACUGCAAGAAGCAAGAGCAAAACCAGCCCAUUCAAUGAUUUCUCCAAGGAAAUUGGCUGCUGUAACAUAGUUGAACAAUCCACCAACAGGGAUCUUGUAUCCUGUCUCUCCUGGUUUGCGUAAAUGAAUCAGGAGCUGGUCUGUUAACAACAAUCAGUUAAUUAGAUUUUUUCCAAAGCAAUUUAACCCUUUGCAAUAACCACACCUGAAUAGAUAUUGAUGGCCAUCCCAACAAGGAACAUGGUGUAGCCUGGAAUCAAAAUUGAUUCAAAGUUUGUUUUUUUGUUAACAUAUGAUUUUUAUGUUAUUCCAGUUUACCUAUAACAAACUGAGGUGAAGUUAACCAUUUAUUAUCAUAUUGAUAGUAAUUUAACAGGUAAUGCCCUUGCAUAAAGCCAUUAAAGAUGGAGAAUAACAUUGCCGAGAUGUAGGGUAUAAAGGGAGUUUUCUUACUGCCUCGGACACACAAAGGAUAAAUUAUACUCCUGCAAAUAGUGCAUUGUUAAUGUUACGCUAAAACACAAAUUGUAACCAGACAGUAACACUUACCUAUUAAUAUAAUGGGUGACAAAUCCUA